UACGGGGGGGGCAAGCGUUGUUCGGAAUUACUGGGCGUAAAGGGCUCGUAGGUGGCCAACUAAGUCGGACGUGAAAUCCCUCAGCUUAACUUGGGAACUGCGUCUGAUACUGGGAGGCUUGAGUGCGGGAGAGGGAUGUGGAAUUCCAGGUGUAGCGGUGAAAUGCGUAGAUAUCUGGAGGAACACCGGUGGCGAAGGCGGCAUCCUGGACCGACACUGACGCUGAGGCGCGAAAGCUAGGGGAGCAAACGGG
rnacentral:rRNA from 1 species